rnacentral:rRNA from 1 species
AGAGUUUGAUCAUGGCUCAGAUUGAACGCUGGCGGCAUGCCUUACACAUGCAAGUCGAACGGCAGCGCGGACUUCGGUCUGGCGGCGAGUGGCGAACGGGUGAGUAAUACAUCGGAACGUACCCUGUUGUGGGGGAUAACUAGUCGAAAGAUUAGCUAAUACCGCAUACGACCUGAGGGUGAAAGUGGGGGACCGCAAGGCCUCACGCAGCAGGAGCGGCCGAUGUCUGAUUAGCUAGUUGGUGGGGUAAAGGCCCACCAAGGCGACGAUCAGUAGCUGGGUCUGAGAGGACGAUCAGCCACACUGGGACUGAGACACGGCCCAGACUCCUACGGGAGGCAGCAGUGGGGAAUUUUGGACAAUGGGGGCAACCCUGAUCCAGCAAUGCCGCGUGUGUGAAGAAGGCCUUCGGGUUGUAAAGCACUUUUGUCCGGAAAGAAAUCGCGCUGGUUAAUACCUGGCGUGGAUGACGGUACCGGAAGAAUAAGCAUCGGCUAACUACGUG